rnacentral:rRNA from 1 species
UUAAGCGGCAGGCCUAACACAUGCAAGUCGAACGGUAGCACAGAGAGCUUGCUCUCUGGUGACGAGUGGCGGACGGGUGAGUAAUGUCUGGGAAACUGCCCGAUGGAGGGGGAUAACUACUGGAAACGGUAGCUAAUACCGCAUAACGUCUUCGGACCAAAGUGGGGGACCUUCGGGCCUCACACCAUCGGAUGUGCCCAGAUGGGAUUAGCUAGUAGUGGGGUAAUGGCUCACCUAGCGACGAUCCCUAGCUGGUCUGAGAGGAUGACCAGCCACACUGGAACUGAGACACGGUCCAGACUCCUACGGGAGGCAGCAGUGGGGAAUAUUGCACAAUGGGCGCAAGCCUGAUGCAGCCAUGCCGCGUGCAUGAAGAAGGCCUUCGGGUUGUAAAGUACUUUCAGCGGGGAGGAAGGCGAUGUGGUUAAUAACCGCAUCGAUUGACGUUACCCGCAGAAGAAGCACCGGCUAACUCCGUGCCAGCAGCCGCGGUAAUACGGAGGGUGCAGCGUUAAUCGGAAUUACUGGGCGUAAAGCGCACGCCAAGGCCGAGG